UAGUCUACGUACUUUAUCAGUGAAAAUGGUGUCGAAAAAUCUACGCUCCAGGAAGAUUGCCAAAAUUGUGGCUGUUGCUGUAACAGUGCUCAUUUUAGUGGAAACUUUCGGCUUCGCUGAUGCGCAAUGGUGGGGAGGCUGGAUAUAUAGAUGAACUACAAAUCAACGACAGGAACAAACUGCCACUAGUUCUGGAUUUGUCAUAAGCCCAAUUUUUGUGGUUCCAUUCUUCUCUAAUGUUCGUGGUAACAAUGCUAAUACCGGGAUUCAGCAAGGAGAAAGACAGAGAGGCGGAUAAAAAGUAAAUGAAAAUGAUGCCAAAUCCUGAGCCAGGCUGACCGGAAAUUGUGAAAACGCCUACAAAGAAAAUUAAUUACUUUCUUCCUUCGAAAAUUUUAUUAAUUUGUAAUUUUUCAAACAGAAUUGGCAGAUGUAAAAAUUAAAAAAAAUCGUUUUAUGGCAAAUGUAA